rnacentral:rRNA from 1 species
CCUGGUGAUUAUAGCGGGGUGGCUGCACCCGAUCCCAUUCCGAACUCGGCCGUGAAACGCCCCAGCGCCAAUGGUACUUCGUCUUAAGACGCGGGAGAGUAGGUCGUUGCCAGGU